rnacentral:rRNA from 1 species
GACGUAGGGCGCGAGCGUUGUCCGGAUUUAUUGGGCGUAAAGAGCUCGUAGGCGGCUUGUUGCGUCGGCUGUGGAAAACCCGUGGCUUAACUGCGGGCUUGCAGCUGAUACGGGCGGGCUAGAGUUCGGUAGGGGAGACUGGAAUUCCUGGUGUAGCGGUGAAAUGCGCAGAUAUCGGGAAGAACACCCGUGGCGAAGGCGGUUCUCUGGGACGGUACUGACGCUGAGACGCGAAAGCGUGGGGAGCGAACAGG